rnacentral:misc_RNA from 1 species
UUUCUCUCCGCUCCACGACCGCUCCAACAACGCUCGGGCGGUGUGACAAGGCCUUUAAACGUUGCACAAACUUUGAUGGAGCGGUUGUACGGGGUCGCUCGAACUGUGUCUGGCGUUGAAGCAGCGACCCUUUGCGGUGGUGAACUUUGGUUUGGCAUUGGUAUGGAGGUGUCGGAGCGGACCAGCGCCAAAGCAACGCCGGCUUCAGUGGUGCACCGCUAAGGCAAUGCCCGUGUUUUCGAUUUUCCCCCAUUUUGUGCGAAGUGACGAGCGUUGUCGAAAUUUAGCGGUGUGACCGAUUUUUGACUUUUGAAUUCAUUGUUCUUGCGAUCAUCAGCCCAUGAAAAUAGGCGAAUUCGACUUCAGAUCACUCCAACGUAUCAUGCAUAUUGCAGCUAUAACUAGGGGAUUCCAAAGAAGAAUAAAGGCUCUUUCAACAUGUUCAAUGGGUUAUACACAUGAUUAUAGAAAACAGCAUUGAAGCUGAUUGUUAUGAAACAUUCUUAUUUUUUCUACCAUUCGAUUCGGGGGUAGAAAUGCUGUCGAGUUAUACUUUCGCAAGUAGGACAUGAAACCUUUUGGAACAAUGUUGUGGUAAUUCAACAAACUGCAUUUUGGUACGUUUACAAGAAAAGCCGGGCCAGCUGACUGAAGAUUUGGGUCGAAGACUUAUUUCGUAAUAAUCCCCUGACACUUCGAGCAUGCAAUCAGAAAAUCGCCGACAGGAGACAGAUCCGGACGGACUCGAUAUGGAUCAUUUGAGAGACGUUAUAGUUGUUGGAGCGGGCCUUAGUGGUUUAUCAGCCGCCAUGCUCUUACAUGAAUCUGGCCAAGAUGUACUGGUACUAGAAGCAAAUGAUCGAGUUGGAGGACGGACUCUCAAUUUCUAUGACGAGGCAAUAGACUACACCGAUUUGGGCGGGGCUUACAUAGGACCUACCCAGGAUCGCAUCUACCGACUCGCCAAAGAAAUGGGUGUGGACACCGUACGUUGCUAUGACACCGGAAUGGCAAUUUCAUACCACAGGGGAAGGUGGCGGAAGAUGUCGGGUUUGCAUCCUGGCACCUGGAAUCCCCUGGAGAAUCUAGAACUCAACCACUUUUGGCAUCUCAUAGAUAGAAUGGGAGAAAAGAUUCCGUUGGAUCGUCCCUGGGACUUCCCUGAAGCCGCAGAAUGGGAUAGCAUGACGGUGAAGGAAUGGGCUGAGAAGACCUUCUGGUUCCAACUGACCAGAGAUGUGCUCUAUGUCCAUUGUUCUGCUGAAUUCUGUGCCGAGGCCAAGGAUCUAUCUCUCCUCUAUUUCCUCUGGUACAUUAAAGAAGGCGGUGGAUAUAUGCGGCUGUCGGCUACUGACAAUGGUGCUCAGGAAAGAAAGUUCGUGGGCGGAAGUCAAAGAAUUUGCCUCAAUAUAGCAGAACGUCUUGGGAGAGGUAAUGUUUUACUGAGUAAACCAGUGUCUAGUAUAGAACAGGAUUCCGAUGGAGUGAAGGUAACGACAAUAUCUGGAGAUUCAUUUAAGGCAAAGUAUAUAAUAACGGCACUUCCUCCGGCGAUGCUUUGUAAGAUUAAAUUCACGCCAAGUCUCCCAGCCCUCAGAAAUCAGCUGAAUCAAAGAUAUCCAAUGGGAUCUGUGAUCAAGACUAUGAUGUAUUAUAAACGCCCAUUCUGGCGUGAUCAAAAUUUUUCAUGUAAUAUCUACGCAGACGGGAUUAUUUCAGCGACUCAAGACGACUGUUCGGAAGGCAGUAAUGCUAUUAUAGGAUUUAUGACGGGUGAUUCGGCAAGAGAACAUUGUCAUCUUACAAAAGAAGAAAGGAAAGAUCUAAUCGCCAAACAAUAUGCUGUACUGUUGAGAACUGACGAAGCACUUGAGCCAAUAUUCUAUGUUGAGAAGAACUGGAUGGAAGAGCCUUAUAUUGGUGGAGGAUAUGUAGGAUACACUGCUCCAGGUGUUAUAACAAAGUACUGCAAGGUUAUUCGAGAGCCAAUCGGUCGUCUUUUCUUUGCUGGUACCGAGACAGCUACAAAGUGGUCUGGAUACAUGGACGGGGCUGUCCAGGCAGGAGAGAGGGCUGCAAGAGAGGUUCUACAUGCAAUGGGUAAAGUCCGGAAAGAUGAGAUAUGGCAAGAAGAGCCUGAAUGUAAGGACAUGCCUGCACUUCCAUUCCAAGAAACCUUCCUCGAGAGAAGUCUACCGUCCGUGAGUGGCUUCUUAAUCUUCCUAGGAACUUCUCUCACUCUAUUAGCAGUAGGCGAGGCUCUGUGGAUGUGUAGAGGUGCCCUCCAACUACAAAGGGUCAACUAAGCAACUCUCUGGAAAUAUUCAAGUAUGGGGGGAAUAUACGCUCUACUAGGUGGUGAACUUAGUAAGUGAGGGCGAUCCAAAUGUCC